rnacentral:lncRNA from 1 species
CCCCGAUCCAGCUGCCGACAACAGACCUUCAGGCUCUAUGGGAUUGCCAGGGAAAUCCCAUGAGCGUGUGUCUUCUUCUGGGAGAACCAGUGUGUUUCUAACCCGAUCUUCUAAUGCUUAAAAAUAGAUCAUUUUCAUGGCAUUUGAACCCCCUCUUGAGCCUAAUGAGAUUUAAAGAAGUCAGAGCUAGCAGAGAGAGCACGAAGACUCAAAGCAGAUGAUGGGAGAAUGUCUGUUCAGCUUCUGUUGAACCAAACCUCCAGGUUGAUUUUGGCCAGGAAUCCCCACUGGGGAUUCCUGGUGGAGGGCUGUGAACUUGCUGAGGAUAUGAAGAUAUCUGAAGUCAAUCAAUCAGAUUGCAACAUGACACUUUUUAUCUUUUUAACCUAACUGCCAGCUGGAAACUUGGAAAUCCUCCCUCAGUUUUUGCUUAUUAUGGGAGACUGACUCAUGGACAUUAACUUGCUUCCAGCCCUUUCUAGCCCUACCCUCCCUGACUCAGCAUUUUAGUAUCACAAAGAAGUCCAGAAGUCAUGUCCUUGGUGACUGUUGAAGCUGAAGCACAAAGAAGUGAAGUGACUGACCCAACUAUCUAUAACCAGGAGCAGCAGAGCCUGGGUUACACAUCCAUUCACCCAUAGGUGCAUGCAUGAGACUCAUUCAACACACACUUAUUAGCAUCUACCAGGUUCCAGGCGAUAUGCUAACUCCUGGGGCUACAGAGUUAUAAUUAAGAUAGACCCUCUUCCUGCUCUGUUAACACUCAUGGUCCUGUAGAGAAGAUAGUCAUGAAAGGAAUUAUUUGCAUUUGUAAAAUGUGCACA